UCCCUGGUGGCUCAGACGGUAAAGCAUCUGCCUGCGACGCAGGAGACCUUGGUUUGAUCCCUGGGCUGGGAA
rfam:TPA: Bos taurus chromosome X, whole genome shotgun sequence.